rnacentral:rRNA from 1 species
ACACAUGCAAGUCGAGGGGCAUCAGGAAGAAAGCUUGCUUUCUUUGCUGGCGACCGGCGCACGGGUGAGUAACACGUAUCCAACCUGCCCUUUACUCGGGGAUAGCCUUUCGAAAGAAAGAUUAAUACCCGAUAGCAUAAUGAUUCCGCAUGGUUUCAUUAUUAAAGGAUUCCGGUAAAGGAUGGGGAUGCGUUCCAUUAGGUUGUUGGUGAGGUAACGGCCCACCAAGCCUUCGAUGGAUAGGGGUUCUGAGAGGAAGGUCCCCCACAUUGGAACUGAGACACGGUCCAAACUCCUACGGGAGGCAGCAGUGAGGAAUAUUGGUCAAUGGGCGCUAGCCUGAACCAGCCAAGUAGCGUGAAGGAUGAAGGCUCUAUGGGUCGUAAACUUCUUUUAUAUAAGAAUAAAGUGCAGUAUGUAUACUGUUUUGUAUGUAUUAUAUGAAUAAGGAUCGGCUAACUCCGUGCCAGCAGCCGCGGUAAUACGGAGGAUCCGAGCGUUAUCCGGAUUUAUUGGGAUUAAAGGGAGCGUAGGUGGACUGGUAAGUCAGUUGUGAAAGUUUGCGGCUCAACCGUAAAAUUGCAGUUGAUACUGUCAGUCUUGAGUACAGUAGAGGUGGGCGGAAUUCGUGGUGUAGCGGUGAAAUGCUUAGAUAUCACGAAGAACUCCGAUUGCGAAGGCAGCUCACUGGACUGCAACUGACACUGAUGCUCGAAAGUGUGGGUAUCAAACAGGAUUAGAUACCCUGGUAGUCCACACAGUAAACGAUGAAUACUCGCUGUUUGCGAUAUACAGUAAGCGGCCAAGCGAAAGCAUUAAGUAUUCCACCUGGGGAGUACGCCGGCAACGGUGAAACUCAAAGGAAUUGACGGGGGCCCGCACAAGCGGAGGAACAUGUGGUUUAAUUCGAUGAUACGCGAGGAACCUUACCCGGGCUUAAAUUGCAGUGGAAUGAUGUGGAAACAUGUCAGUGAGCAAUCACCGCUGUGAAGGUGCUGCAUGGUUGUCGUCAGCUCGUGCCGUGAGGUGUCGGCUUAAGUGCCAUAACGAGCGCAACCCUUAUCUUUAGUUACUAACAGGUUAUGCUGAGGACUCUAGAGAGACUGCCGUCGUAAGAUGUGAGGAAGGUGGGGAUGACGUCAAAUCAGCACGGCCCUUACGUCCGGGGCUACACACGUGUUACAAUGGGGGGUACAGAAGGCAGCUAGCGGGUGACCGUAUGCUAAUCCCAAAAUCCUCUCUCAGUUCGGAUCGAAGUCUGCAACCCGACUUCGUGAAGCUGGAUUCGCUAGUAAUCGCGCAUCAGCCACGGCGCGGUGAAUACGUUCCCGGGCCUUGUACACACCGCCCGUCAAGCCAUGGGAGCCGGGGGUACCUGAAGUACGUAACCGCAAGGAUCGUCCUAGGGUAAAACUGGUGACUGGGGCUAAGUC